ensembl:lncRNA
GUGGGUUUGCUAUGAAGCGGGACAGGCUUGGUUGCUUUUGCUUUUGCGGAAGAAAGGGCGCGGACAAGUAGGAGAAUGGUCCCAUAUGCUGCUGGAGAUAAUGAAUAGGAGUCGGCCGACCGCGCGAUUUAGCUUUUCUUUUCUUUUAUCCAUUUUCGUGUUUAAAAAUCCUGCUCUGAACGCUGGUUACAAACAGCAGACCGAGCACUUCGAUCCGAAUAGAUUCCUUUGACUUAAGGAACGCACGGCUUCCUUCGACAGUGCUCCUCAGAGUGUGAUCUCUGAACUAGCAGCAGCCCUUGGGAACUUGUUAAAAAUUCAGAUUCUCUUGCCCCACCUAGGCCUUCCUGAGUCUGACAUCCAGAUCUAUGCAGUUGAAUCGAUCAUCUAAUUCCCGAGAAUGGAUCAGACCACAAACCUGCCAAGAGUUGAGAUGACUGAACACAAAGCCCUCAUUCAUAAAUCAUUUGUUAAUAAAUCAUGAAGCAUGAAACUCAACUGGAAGUAAAAUUCUUUAUUCUCAUAUAAUGCAUAGGAUGGAUCUUAAAAGAUAAUUCCAUCUGGAUAACGUUCCCACUGAAAAAAAGCU